GCGCCACCGAUUUUCCAAGAUGGCCGCGCCCAUUAGUUGGAGCAUGAGAAGAUUUUACAUCAAUGCUUUUAGAUACCAUAUCCGAUGCCAGCAUGUUGGCUUGCAGAUACAGCUUUCCAAUAGGAGACCAUACAACACAAAGGCUCCACGGAACAUAUUAACCCUUCACGACAGAGGCAUCUUUCAAAAUGUCUAUCCCAGUGGCAGUACCCCAGAACUUGUUC